rnacentral:lncRNA from 1 species
AAUUGUGGAUCUGUGUGCGUGUGUGAUAUUUUUAAAAAAUUACCGAAUUUUCUGUUAAAGAUCUCAACAAGCAUCAAUACCAACCCAAAUUAACUCAUAAAUCCAUUACAUUCGUACCUGGGAAAGCUCCUCUCAGCUCGGACCACUUCUCUCUAUUUUCACUGCAAGCUCCUCUCGCGAAUUGUGGCUGUGAAAGAAAGUGAAAAAAUAUGGGUUUUUGGAGUUAGGGUUUGGUUCAGGAGAGAAAAAGGGAUUUGGGGGGUUUGGUUGAAUGAGAGAAGAAGGGAUUUAGG